rnacentral:rRNA from 1 species
CGGUGAAAUGCGUAGAGAUCGGGAGGAAUACCAGUGGCGAAGGAGGCCUUCUGGACUGACACUGACACUGAGGUGCGAAAGCGUGGGUAGCAAACAGGAUUAGAUACCCUGGUAGUCCACGCCGUAAACGAUGUCAACUAGCCGUUGGGUCCCUUGAGGACUUAGUGGCGCAGCUAACGCAGUAAGUUGACCGCCUGGGGAGUACGGCCGCAAGGUUAAAACUCAAAUGAAUUGACGGGGGCCCGCACAAGCGGUGGAGCAUGUGGUUUAAUUCGAUGCAACGCGAAGAACCUUACCUACCCUUGACAUCCAGAGGACUUUCCAGAGAUGGAUUGGUGCCUUCGGGAACUCUGAGACAGGUGCUGCAUGGCUGUCGUCAGCUCGUGUUGUGAAAUGUUGGGUUAAGUCCCGUAACGAGCGCAACCCCUAUCCUUAUUUGCCAGCGAGUAAUGUCGGGAACUCUAAGGAGACUGCCGGUGACAAACCGGAGGAAGGUGGGGACGACGUCAAGUCAUCAUGGCCCUUACGGGUAGGGCUACACACGUGCUACAAUGGCAAGUACAAAGGGUUGCAAUACUGCGAAGUGGAGCCAAUCCCAUAAAGCUUGCCUCAGUCCGGAUUGGAGUCUGCAACUCGACUCCAUGAAGUCGGAAUCGCUAGUAAUCGUGGAUCAGAAUGCCACGGUGAAUACGUUCCCGGGCCUUGUACACACCGCCCGUCACACCAUGGGAGUGGACUGCACCAGAGAGUGGUUAGCCUAACCUUCGGGAGGGC